GUUGAAGUCUUCGCUGUGUCAUCUUGUCCCUGUUUGCUUCUUCUCCGUCUUGGCCGCUGACAUUCCGUCCUUGUCGCGAGUGAGUUGUUUCACAGGAGGUCGUUUUUCAGACUCCUCUGCGCCUGCGUGACCUCACUGAGGCCUCUCCUGUGUGUAGACCUCCUUCUCGCUCUGUCUCUGUUUUUGCUCUCUGCUCCUCUGUCGCUCUUCAUCGCGUCCUUCUCUGACUCUCUGUGUUUCAUCUUUUGUGUGCUCUCUGUCCGUCUUGAUCUCUCUCUUUCGUUUUUCUUGGCUUCCCUUCGUUUCUCCGCCUUCGCCGCCAAACGGCAAGGCAGGCGGUAGGAAUCUGCU
rnacentral:lncRNA from 1 species